GGAUUAGAUACCCUGGUAGUCCACGCCGUAAACGAUGGGUACUAGGUGUUCGGGGUAUUGACCCCUCGAGUGCCGCAGCUAACGCAUUAAGUACCCCGCCUGGGGAAUACGGCCGCAAGGUUAAAACUCAAAGGAAUUGACGGGGGCCCGCACAAGCGGUGGAGCAUGUGGUUUAAUUCGACGCAACGCGAAGAACCUUACCUGGGCUAGACAACACUGGACAGCCCCAGAGAUGGGGUCUUCCCUUCGGGGACUGGUGGUUCAGGUGCUGCAUGGCUGUCGUCAGCUCGUGCCG
rnacentral:rRNA from 1 species